UAGCCGGCCGUGGAGGGAGUGAAAGCCCCUUGGGGGUGUAAACUCCUUUCGAUCGGGAAGAUGAUGACGGUACCGAUAUAAGAAGCCCCGGCUAACUUCGUGC
rnacentral:rRNA from 1 species